rnacentral:lncRNA from 1 species
UGGGUUUGAAUAGUUUUUGAAUAGUUAGAGAUUUCCUCACUCCAAAGUGAUAAAGGAAAUUACUUGUAUUUUAUUUUUGAUACCUUAUGAUGUGAGGUAGGGAUCCAACUUAAUUUUUUUCAGGUAACUACCUAUUGCUAAUACUAUUUAUUAAAGAGUCCAUCUUUUCCAUCAUUGACUUGACAUGCUACCUAUAAGACAUACUAAAUUUAUUCAUUUGUAUGGGACAAUUUAUGUACUUUUUACUCUGAAUCAAUAGCUAUUCAUUCAGCAGCCUCACACAGUUUUAAUUAUAGAGGUUUUAUCAUGUUAUGUCAUAAUAUGUUAUAAUAUGGUUUUAUGUCUAGUGAAGUACCUAUUGCUCUUUUAUUAAUCAGAUUUUUUAGUGAUUCUUGUUUGUUUUUCCAAAUGAAAUUUAGAAUCAGCUUGUCUGUUUUUUUUUUUUUUAAACCUAUUAGUAUCUAUAUUGGAAUCACACUCACUUCACAAAGCAAUUUAGGAUAAACAAUAUCCUUUGGUUAUAGUUUUGGUCCAAAACUAUUACAUGCCUUUCCAUUUGCAUAAAUUGUCUUUUACAUCAGGCGGUGGCACAUUAAAGUUUCUAUUCAGGUAAGACUUGCUUUCUUCCAGUUAGGUUCAUUCUUGGAUGUUUUCUCUUUUUGAUGACAGUUCUAAGUGAGGUCUUUUCUAUCACUGUAGCUUCUAACUAGUAAUUGUAUAUGAAGAUGUGUCUAUAUUAAGUCUACAUCUCCUCUAUCUUAGGGAAUUUUCUUAAGAUUUUAUUUUAUUUUAUUUAUUUAUUUGAGAGAGAGAGCACAGUGGGGGUUGGGGCAGAGGGAGAGGGAGGGGGAGAAUCCUCAAGCAAACUUCCGUUGAGCAUGGAGCCCAACUCGGGGCUUAAUCCCAGGACCCUGAGACCAUGACCUGAGGUGAAGUCACACUUAACUGAGUGAGCCACCCAGGCACCCUAGAGAAUUUUUUAUUACUCAUUUGUAACAGUUUGUCCAGUUGAUUCUUCAAGGUUUUCAAGUUUACAAUCAUAUCAUCUUUACAUAUUGAUAGUUCAGCCUGCUUCUCUCAUUAUUUUCUGCCUCUAAUGCCUUUAUUAUCUUAUUAUGACAUUUGUUUCUUGUCAUCUUUAUGUUGUCUUGUCAUGAGCCUUCAAGUAAGAUAUUCCUGAUAUCAGAGUGCCUGUAGUGUUCCACAAGGCUGACUGGAUAGGUCAUAUUAAGGAAGUAGCAAUCAAAUGUUCAUUUAGUGUAUUUUGGGACCAAAAUUAGAGUUUAGGGCAGCCCGGGUGGCUCAGCGGUUUAGCGCAGCCUUCAGCCCCCAGCGUGAUCCUGGAGACCCGGGAUCGAGUCCCACAUUGGGAUCCCUGUGUGGGGCCUGCUUCUCCCUCUGCCUGCGCGUCUGCCUCUCUCUCUCUCUCUCUCUGUGUCUCUCGUGAAUAAAUGAAUUUUUUAAAAAUUAGAAUUUAAAUUUUGUCAAAUGACUUUACAGCUUCUAUAGAGAUGAUCACCUCAUUUUCUUCUCAGGUCAAUUAAGAUAUUAAACAUUUUAUAAUAUAAAAAUAUAUUAAAUAUUACAGAUGCAUUUGCAUCUUUUCAUAUGCUUACUGGCCAUUUGUAUCUCUUUGGAGAAAUGUCUAUUCAAGUCCUUUGGCCACUUUGAAUUGUGCUGUUUGGGUUUUUUUGUUGUUAAGUUGUAGUUCUUUACAAAUUUUGGGCAUUAAUCCUUUAUGGCAUAUAAUUUGCAAAUGUUUUCUCCCAUUCUGUGAGCUGUCUUUUCAACCUUUAGGUAGUGUCAUUUGAUGCACAGAAGUGUGUCAUUUUGAUGAAGCUAUAUUUCUAAGAGUUUUAUAAUUUUAGAUAUCAGUUCAGAUCUUUGAUCCAUUUUGUGAUUUUUAUUUUUGUGAUA